GCAAAGUAUUAUGAAAAACCUAAGGAGGAGGAGGAGGUAAUUGUCUCUUCUGGAUGAAGAGUGAAAAUCAAGAAAUGCUUCAUGGAGGAGCUUUCCUGAUGAGAGACCAAGAGAGAUUCUGAGUAGAUAUGAGAGGACUACUGGCAAAAACAACACUAUCCUCAGCAGUUCAUGAUCCUAAGGCACCCCCUUCUUCAACAAUAGCAAGUAAUUCAAUAAUGGUUAAACAUGAGCACUUCUUCUAUAGAUAUUUCUACAAUUAUCAUGCUGCAGAAGAAAAAACAGAUCAAAAAGGAAAAAAAAAUAAGAAAGAAAAAAAAAU
ensembl:lncRNA